rnacentral:tRNA from 1 species
GCCUAGCUGGUUGAGUCAGUGGAGCAUGUGACUCUUGAUCUCGGGGUUGUGAGUUCGAAUCCCACACUGGGUG